CAGUAGCCGCGGUAAUACGUAGGGUGCAAGCGUUAAUCGGAAUUACUGGGCGUAAAGCGUGCGCAGGCGGUUCGUUAAGACAGAUGUGAAAUCCCCGGGCUUAACCUGGGAACUGCAUUUGUGACUGGCGGGCUAGAGUAUGGCAGAGGGGGGUAGAAUUCCACGUGUAGCAGUGAAAUGCGUAGAGAUGUGGAGGAAUACCGAUGGCGAAGGCAGCCCCCUGGGCCAAUACUGACGCUCAUGCACGAAAGCGUGGGGAGCAAACAGGAUUAGAUACCCGAGUAGUCCCUGUCUCUUAUAC
rnacentral:rRNA from 1 species